CCGCCCGUCACGCCAUGGGAGUCAAUUGCUCCAGAAGCGCCUGAGCCAACCGUCAAGGAGGCAGGGCACCAAGGAGUGGUCGGCGACUGGGGUG
rnacentral:rRNA from 1 species